AUGAGUCUGUGUGAAUGCAGCUUCUGGCAUCCAGCAAACACCAGCAAUGCCAUCAAUGACAUCGAGGGAGUGGAGCUCAGGGUCUGGGGAGAGAGUGAGUGAGAACCAUUUUUGCUGAUUCAUCUCUUUCAAUGACAGAAACAGACUUAGAAUAAAACUGCAAAUGCUGGUUUAAUCCAGCCUAGGGAUGUAAGGACAGUUGUUUCCAGACAGGGAAAGGUUUUUGUUGCUGGAGCCAGGUUCUGACCAGGUAGGAAGGGCGUACAAUGAGCUCUUAAAUAAAGUUUACUUUGUAAGUAGUCCAGUUACAGCCACCAGUGACUCAGAGGUAAAAUCAGCUGCGUGCCAACCUUGGGUGGUGGUGAAAUGAACUGUCAGAGCCCAAAGACUCUCUUCCACUUGAUUUGUAUUAAAUUUUGGCUUUUUGAAUGUGUGUCUCCAGUGUUUCCAUACUACUUCAGUCACUGAAGCCAUCUCCUGUGUUCCCACAGAAAAUCUUCCCACCAAACCUAAAAAAGCUGAAGGAAGAGAAGUGCUGCAAAAGGCUGUGUGGUAUCAGGUGUCCCUGGGGAGCAGUGCUUUCCUCCCUUUUAUAGUCCAGUCAGCCUGUGUGAGAAGUGAGAAAUGGGAAUGUGGGCAGAUUCCAAGGAGUGCUGAGAGCAACUGAGAGAUGGUGGAAAAUACUGGCUGGUAAAGACUUUAAAAAACCUGAUGUUGGCUCCAAAAAAUUAAUUUUAUUACUAAGCCCUGACGCAGGCAGUGGCAUCUGCAAGAAUAUUUUUUUUAUUAUUUUAAAAGAAUAUUUUAAAGAAUUCCUGUCUGGGAAACUGAACCCGGAUAACAUGUAUGACAGGGAAAAAUAUGCAGAGCUGACUUUAUGUCUUCUUGAAGUCAGUGGGUAAAAACUGGAAAUCAAGGUUGGCAUAUUAUUAUUUUAUUUGCCAAGGAGCACAACUUCGACUGUGUGGAACAACCUUAGACAGUUUUUUUUUUUUAGUUUUGAUUUCCAGGAUUUUAUAUUAAACAUACAAAAACUGUGUCCUUGUCAAACUUUUAGUGUUUUCAUGCCAUUUACUGAGAUUAAAGAGCAUCUUGUACAUGACCUUGGAACUACAGCUGUUUGCUUUCCUGGCUGGUUGUGCAGCAGAUGUCUGGGAAACGGUUAUUUUUUCCCUUCUCCUGUCUCAGGUAAAGCUAAAGCUGCUAAAAUGUUACAAAAUCCUUGCUGUGGAAGGCUGCAGGAGUAUUCUGGGAAGCAUUCUUAUAUAAUUGCCUCGUGCUUAUGCUAUUCCUUAGGCAUUCACAAUUAGAAUAAAGAUACCAGUGAGGUGUGCGUUUGGUGUAACCUGAUCCAGCAGUUUAUCUUCAGAUAAAAAGAGGUCAGAGAAAAAUGCAUUCUGAUAUGAGAACAGCUCCUGUGGUUUUCCAGAGGUCUGGAUAAUGCUGACCUACAAAGCCAACCUAUGUUCCUUCUCCUGUGCUCUGUUAUUGGAGGACUUACAUAUGUGUAUAUGGGAAGGCAAACGUGUGAUCCCUCACAUCCCUGAGUGUCAUUCCAGGCUGGGUCAGUGGAAAUGCAUUUAUUGGCCCUUGAGCCGCCCCUCUUUGAGUAAUCUGGGGGGCAGAGUUACCAAGGAGCAGCCCACAAAGGAUCUCCAAGGGAUCCCCACAAAGUCCAGCUGGAAUCAUCUUCAGAGUCUCAGCAGCCACCUCUGGGGGGACUCCCUCUCACAAGACCAGCAAAGACAGAAAGCCAAGUUGGUCCUACUGAUCCUGUAACUGAGAAAGAAGAAAAACUUAGUACUUCAAGCAAGACAGCAACUGGAACACUGUAACGGAAGGUUGAAGAGUGAGGAGCAUUGAACCUGCAGCUCCAUAGCAGGAAAAAGAGGAGAUACUGCUGUUUUAAGGUCAUAUGAAGCUGUGACAGAUGAUCUUGUAUCUUUCUGCUGCCUUUGUUGCUCGCUGUUUGUGCUGCUUUCGUGUUUAGAACCACGGAAGGUCUGUAAGAUACUGUUUUGGAAAAUCCAGCUUUGACAUCCCUUCCCACAGUGGUUUGAUUACUGGCACCAGUCCUCCUGUGGGCACUGUCAGCUGGGGAGUGCUGACCACUGGCUGGGUUUGGUCCAUUUUUGGCUUCUUCCCUGUGAGUGCAUCAACAGGCACAACCAGCUCCUGAUACCUCCCCACUAAGAUGGAAGAAGUUUGGGUUGUGUAUCUCUGCCUGAUCUUGAUGAUCAUUGUGCUUGUUCUAAUGAAGCAAAACCCGCAUGUGGAAGAGGCCAGGAAGGACAGGGAAAGCAAACCCUCCUCACCAUCCUCUUCCUUUUCCCCCAGUAAUGUUGGCAAACAACUGGAGCACACCCAGGAAGAGCUGGAUAAGUAUCUGGAAAGGCUAAACAAUGUCUUGUUUGGCACAGAAACCAGGAGAAGGGAUGACCACCAUGAUCAGAAGUCCCACCAUCACAGAAGUGCUGAUUUUGUGUCAGAAACUAAGGAGCACUCUCAGCACCUGUCAGGCUCCACAGAAGUCCAGGUAUGAGCCUUAGAAAGACUGUCAGACUCAGCUAGACUUUGAGCUCCUGGCUGAGGUAGUGAACCCUGAGGAACUGCAUAGUCCAUGAAGUUGGACAGGGAAGAGGUUGGGGGAAGUCUUGCUAUUUUGGAGGUAAUACGUUCCUGUUUUUGCACUGUUUAUUUCGACAUUAAGCACUCAUCCAGAGACAGCUCUGUGUGUCAAGUGUGGUAUGUAUGUUACACGUGAAAGAUGUAAACGUUGGCAUUAGCACCCAUGCGUCUGUGUGUAUCCAUGAUGUAAUUUACUCCUUCCCAUAGAAAUAGAAACAGGCAUCAUUUCUUACUUCAAGAAAUUACUGUGCAACUCUUCAACUGUUUUAAAUCUCCCUCUUUCCCCACAUACAGCCACAUUUUACCAGUUUGCCCAGCUAAGGGUCUAGCCCAGGAGGGUACAGGAGCUCUGCAGACACCUGUCUAGAGGUCAUUGCAUGGUAUUGAGCCAUGGGAAAUACUUCUGGAAUAUCUCUUCUGUGCAUGAUGAUCAUGCAGAGUGUACUAUGUAAACAUAGAAGGCACUAUUGGCAACCUGCAAAAAUUCCUUUGCCUUGGCCAAGGCCCUUUUUUAGGGGCUGAAAUGGUGCAAGGCUUUAUAUUUUUAUCAUGAACCUCAUUGCAAUACAUCAGAUUUUGCCCUUGAGAUGACAGUUUUCAUGGCAGCUCUGCAAGGCUGUGUCACUUUAUGCCAGCAGCUGUUAGUAUUCUUCAUUCCUGAGACAUGGAUCUCACAGUGCCAAUCCCCACCCCCAGAGCAUGUCCUGGGUCCAGGUGAGAGCUCCAGCACGAAGCCUUCAGUGCAGAGGAGACCCUGAUGUCAAUAGUGGUGCCCUGCCCAGGAAUCAAGAGAGAUUUCUUGGUGAGGAAGGCACUGCUGUGAACAACCUUUGCAGUGAACCAGGACAUUAUAAUUUCAAAAGUCUUCUGGAGCUGCCUGAUCUAUCUGGGGGAAUCAAUACAGUCUGUUCAAGGCAGAGGGGCAGAUACACAGUGUUGUUCAGAGCACAUGGGCAGGAAGAGUAAUUCAAGUUUACUUAGUAAUUCAGAUUUAUUUAGUGACCAAUUUCAUUUACUGAAGAAGGUGCUAUUUUAUUAGAUCUGCUACAGAUCAAAGAAUAGUAAUGAUUUUUCAUUAUGGAAAUGAAUCAUGUUGCAAAAUAAUAGUGUUAGCUUUUUUCAGUUGUGGUUAAAGAUGAUUGUGUUGACAAAAUACAGACAGGGGAGAAAAGGUACUGUGAUCACUAUUUUCACACAGUUCAUUCUAAUGCUAGGCACCUUCAGGGAAUGUUCACUUGAUUAGAAAAAGGGGGUACGCUGUUUUCACACACAAUCACAGAAUGGUUCAGGUUGGAAGGCACCACAGUGGAUCAUCUAGUCCCACCUCCCUGUUCCAGCAGGGUCAUCCCAGAGCACAUGGCACAGGAUUGCAUCCAGAGGGUUCUGGAAUAUCCACAGUGUGGGAAACUCCACACCUUCUCUGGGCAAUCUCUUCCAGUGCAGAGGAAAGUUCUUCCUCAUGUUCAGAUGAAACUUCCUGUGUUCCAGUUUCUGCCCAUUCCUCUUGUCCCGUUGCUGGAACCCAGCAGAGCCUGGUCCAUCCUCUGCCCUCUCCCUGCAGACAGUGACAGACAGGAAUGAGGUCCCCUCUCAGUGUCUCCUCUGGAGG